AAAUUGAAGAGUUUGAUCAUGGCUCAGAUUGAACGCUGGCGGCAGGCCUAACACAUGCAAGUCGAACGGUAACAGGAAGCAGCUUGCUGCUUUGCUGACGAGUGGCGGACGGGUGAGUAAUGUCUGGGAAACUGCCUGAUGGAGGGGGAUAACUACUGGAAACGGUGGCUAAUACCGCAUAACGUCGCAAGACCAAAGAGGGGGACCUUCGGGCCUCUUGCCAUCAGAUGUGCCCAGAUGGGAUUAGCUUGUUGGUGAGGUAACGGCUCACCAAGGCGACGAUCCCUAGCUGGUCUGAGAGGAUGACCAGCCACACUGGAACUGAGACACGGUCCAGACUCCUACGGGAGGCAGCAGUGGGGAAUAUUGCACAAUGGGCGCAAGCCUGAUGCAGCCAUGCCGCGUGUAUGAAGAAGGCCUUCGGGUUGUAAAGUACUUUCAGCGGGGAGGAAGGUGUUGUGGUUAAUAACCGCAGCAAUUGACGUUACCCGCAGAAGAAGCACCGGCUAACUCCGUGCCAGCAGCCGCGGUAAUACGGAGGGUGCAAGCGUUAAUCGGAAUUACUGGGCGUAAAGCGCACGCAGGCGGUCUGUCAAGUCGGAUGUGAAAUCCCCGGGCUCAACCUGGGAACUGCAUUCGAAACUGGCAGGCUUGAGUCUUGUAGAGGGGGGUAGAAUUCCAGGUGUAGCGGUGAAAUGCGUAGAGAUCUGGAGGAAUACCGGUGGCGAAGGCGGCCCCCUGGACAAAGACUGACGCUCAGGUGCGAAAGCGUGGGGAGCAAACAGGAUUAGAUACCCUGGUAGUCCACGCCGUAAACGAUGUCUACUUGGAGGUUGUGCCCUUGAGGCGUGGCUUCCGGAGCUAACGCGUUAAGUAGACCGCCUGGGGAGUACGGCCGCAAGGUUAAAACUCAAAUGAAUUGACGGGGGCCCGCACAAGCGGUGGAGCAUGUGGUUUAAUUCGAUGCAACGCGAAGAACCUUACCUGGUCUUGACAUCCACGGAAGUUUUCAGAGAUGAGAAUGUGCCUUCGGGAACCGUGAGACAGGUGCUG
rnacentral:rRNA from 1 species